ensembl:lncRNA
UGUGUGUGUGUGUGUGUGUGUGUGUGUGUGUGUUGCAGGUCUCGGUCACGCAGCAAAGGGCGAUCUCGCUCCAGGUCAGAGGGGAAGUCGCAUUCCAGAUCCAAGAGGAACUCCCGUUCUAAAUCUCCAGAGAAGUCUCGCACUCGCAAAUCUCACAGUCCCUCCAAGAGCAGCACUCGGAAGUCUCGCUCCAAGAGCUCAUCCAAAGUCAAAGCCACGCGCAAAUCCCGGAGUCGUUCCAAGGAGAAGUCGUCCAGUAAGAAGUCACGAAGCCGAUCAAGGUCCCGUUCAGAGAGUAGGGGAGAGAAACAUACCUCCAAAUCACCCCCGAGCAAGGAGGCAUCCAAGUCCCCUGCCAAGCACUCCGCCUCCCGCUCCAAGUCUCGCUCUCGAUCCAGAUCGGCCUCGCAGGAUUGAUUGGAUCUCUGACGAUCUCAGGCCUGUCUGAGGUGUUUACAGAAGCAGAAAGGUUUCAAUCUUCUGGCACAAACUGGGAGGCUGUGGAAUCUAUAAAUCUGUCUUUUCUUGACAGUCUUUUUUUUUUUUUUUUUUUUUUUGUUUCUUCGUUUGUAUUUUCUGUUAAAUUAAAUAGUUAUUAGAUGAAACUCUUUACGUGACAGUAUUUCUCUCUUUAGUGAAGUCCAAAUGUACAAUUUGAGUCGAACCGCUGACAGCAGCAGCGAAAGUUGCUUCAUAUUUUUUCAGUCCCAACUAAUACUUUUGUAAUGAAUACAUUUGCAUGGUUUGUGAUGGUUGUUUUUUUUUAGCUGUUUGCCUUUUAAAGUCCCCAGUCCUUUUUAAACAGUCUACAUCAUUUAUUUGUAAUGUUAUAUUGUAAUAAAAUAACAGAAUAAAAAGAACAAGGUCUGCUGUUUUUUGUUAAUGUUUAACAAUAUUUAUUUAAUUUUUUUUUUUAUUUACUAAUAUUCAUUCAUUUGAAGCUAGUUUGUAAAAAAAAAAAAAAAGAGAGAAAUCCUCACAGAUAAAUCUGUCUCUUGUUUUACCACGAAUAAGGCACCUGGAGUCUACCUCCAAAUCUGCUAGAGGCUAUCACAUAGCAAUAAGCAACUGCUUUAUAAAAUGAACUUUUAUAUAGCACUUUUCUACUCAUGCACUCAAAGCACUUUAUACAACAUGCGUCAUUCACACACAUUCAUACAAGCACCCUUCCUACAUCUAAGGGCUUUCUAUCUAACGUUUUCCUUCUCUAACUUUCUUUCCCAC